UUUAAAGCAUUUUCACGAGUUUUUAGUCAGCAAACCCUGAAGAAUUAUUACAGUUUUUAUAGUACAACCCGGAAGAUUUUUUUUAUUUUAUUUUAUUUUAUUCCACUACUCCCACCUACUCUCCACCUUUCCUCCCACUUUCCCUUCCACUACUCCCACCACCAACUUCCACUGCACCUUUCCUUCCACUUAUUCCAUCAACCACCGACUCCCUCACAAUUUUAUAUCAUAUGCUUCCCUUUACACCACUAUACCAACUAAAACAUUUUAUAUCAGCUAAGGGAAGCUUUAACUCUGUUUCAAACAAAUCACCACAAUUUAUUCUCACAAGAAAAACGCAGAUGGAGGGCCUUAUUCACCAAAUUCCCUCUUUCAAGAACAGAACUUGAACUUACAAAGUUUUUGUUGCUGCAUGCUUUCACACCACAAGAAGCUUGGUUUUAAAGGACUCUCCCUCAACAGAUCAACAAAUCAGUAUCACAAGGUUGAGCAGUUGAUGGAAUGGAAUGAUGUUGAGCGGGUGUUCCUUUGACAUUUCAAGAAAUGUAACCUUGAGUAUACAUCUUCAUAUGUAUAUCUCACACGUUUUCCGCUGCAAAACACUUUGAUUAGGAUAACUUUAUGUUAUGAAAUUGUGACACGUGUUAUUGGGUAACCCACCUUAAUCAGUUCUCAUUUAUGUGUAUGUUUUAUAAGUAUCCAAAUAAUCA